GCAAGUCGAACGGUAGCAUGACUAGCUUGCUAGUUGAUCACGAGUGUCGCACGGGUGAGUAACGCGUAGGAAUAUACCUUUUUGUGGGGGAUAACUCGAGGAAACUCGAGCUAAUACCGCAUGUGCUCUUAGGAGUAAAGCUGGGGACCUUCGGGCCUGGUGCAAAAAGAUUAGCCUGCGUCCGAUUAGCUAGAUGGUAGGGUAAAGGCCUACCAAGGCGACGAUCGGUAGCUGGUCUGAGAGGAUGAGC
rnacentral:rRNA from 1 species